AAGGGCACUCUAAUGAGACUGCCGGUGACAAACCGGAGGAAGUGGGGAUGACGUCAAGGUCCUCAUGGCCCUUAUGGGUAGGGCUUCACACGUCAUACAAUGGUCGGUACAGAGGGUUGCCAAGCCGCGAGGUGGAGCCAAUCCCAGAAAGCCGAUCGUAGUCCGGAUUGUUCUCUGCAACUCGAGAGCAUGAAGUCGGAAUCGCUAGUAAUCGCGGAUCAGCAUGUCGCGGUGAAUACGUUCCCGGGUCUU
rnacentral:rRNA from 1 species